CUUGGCUUAUCUUUUUUUCACUUUCUGAAAUCUGUAUCUAUUGCAGACGAAACCAGUGGGGUCUUCAGGAUCAUCUUGGUCAGCCCUGUGGUCGAAUCUACUAGAACUGAUGGAAAGUCAACUUCCUCUGGGAAGAUGAGGAAGGUGCUCAUAGUAAUUUAUGGAAACAUCCCCUUCUCUCUCU
rnacentral:lncRNA from 1 species